rnacentral:rRNA from 1 species
AGUGAACGCUGGCGGUAGGCCUAACACAUGCAAGUCGAACGGCAGCACAGUAAGAGCUUGCUCUUACGGGUGGCGAGUGGCGGACGGGUGAGGAAUACAUCGGAAUCUACUUUUUCGUGGGGGCUAACGUAGGGAAACUUACGCUAAUACCGCAUACGACCUACGGGUGAAAGCAGGGGAUCUUCGGACCUUGCGCGAUUGAAUGAGCCGAUGUCGGAUUAGCUAGUUGGCGGGGUAAAGGCCCACCAAGGCGACGAUCCGUAGCUGGUCUGAGAGGAUGAUCAGCCACACUGGAACUGAGACACGGUCCAGACUCCUACGGGAGGCAGCAGUGGGGAAUAUUGGACAAUGGGCGCAAGCCUGAUCCAGCCAUACCGCGUGUGUGAAGAAGGCCUUCGGGUUGUAAAGCCCUUUUGUUUGGAAAGAAAAGCAGCAGGUUAAUACCCCGCUGUUCUGACGGUACCCAAAGAAUAAGCACCGGCUAACCUCGUG